rnacentral:tRNA from 1 species
GAGGGUAUAGCUCAGUGGUAGAGUGGGUGCUUUGCAUGCACUAGGUCCUGCCAGUACCUCCA